GUGAUGGCGCAGCUACCAUGCAAGUCGUACGAGAAGGUUCUUUCGGGAACUGGAGAGUGGCGCACGGGUGAGUAACGCGUGGGGACCUACCUCUUAGUGGGGGAUAACGGUUGGAAACGACCGCUAAUACCGCAUACGCCCUUCGGGGGAAAGAUUUAUCGCUAAGAGAUGGACCCGCGUUGGAUUAGAUAGUUGGUGAGGUAACGGCUCACCAAGUCAGCGAUCCAUAGCUGGUUUGAGAGGAUGAUCAGCCACACUGGGACUGAGACACGGCCCAGACUCCUACGGGAGGCAGCAGUGGGGAAUAUUGGACAAUGGGCGCAAGCCUGAUCCAGCCAUGCCGCGUGAGUGAAGAAGGCCUUCGGGUUGUAAAGCUCUUUCAGAUGCGAAGAUGAUGACGGUAACAUCAGAAGAAGCCCCGGCUAAUUUCGUGCCAGCAGCCGCGGUAAUACGAAAGGGGCAAGCGUUGUUCGGAUUUACUGGGCGUAAAGGGCACGCAGGCGGUCCUGCCAGUCAGGG
rnacentral:rRNA from 1 species